rnacentral:rRNA from 1 species
UACGAAGGGGGCUAGCGUUGCUCGGAAUCACUGGGCGUAAAGCGCACGUAGGCGGAUUGUUAAGUCAGGGGUGAAAUCCUGGAGCUCAACUCCAGAACUGCCUUUGAUACUGGCGAUCUUGAGUCCGGGGAGAGGUGAGUGGAACUGCGAGUGUAGAGGUGAAAUUCGUAGAUAUUCGCAAGAACACCAGUGGCGAAGGCGGACUCACUGGCCCGGUACUGACGCUGAGGUGCGAAAGCGUGGGGAGCAAACAGGG